GACGAACGCUGGCGGCGUGCUUAACACAUGCAAGUCGAACGGAAAGGCCCUGCUUGCAGGGUACUCGAGUGGCGAACGGGUGAGUAACACGUGGGUGAUCUGCCCUGCACUUCGGGAUAAGCCUGGGAAACUGGGUCUAAUACCGGAUAGGAGCCAUUUUUAGUGUGAUGGUUGGAAAGUUUUUUCGGUGUAGGAUGAGCUCGCGGCCUAUCAGCUUGUUGGUGGGGUAAUGGCCUACCAAGGCGGCGACGGGUAGCCGGCCUGAGAGGGUGGACGGCCACAUUGGGACUGAGAUACGGCCCAGACUCCUACGGGAGGCAGCAGGGGGGAAUAUUGCACAAUGGGCGCAAGCCUGAUGCAGCGACGCCGCGUGGGGGAGGACGGCCUUCGGGUUGUAAACUCAUUUCGCUAGGGACGAAGCUUUUUGUGACGGUACCUAGAUAAGAAGCACCGGCUAACUACGUG
rnacentral:rRNA from 1 species